AUUGAACGCUGGCGGCAUGCUUUACACAUGCAAGUCGGACGAGUGGCGGACGGGUGAGUAACAUAUCGGAACGUACCCAGUAAUGGGGGAUAACUAAUCGAAAGAUUAGCUAAUACCGCAUAUUAUUCGAGCGGCCGAUAUCUGAUUAGCUGGUUGGUGGGGUAAAGGCCUACCAAGGCGACGAUCCGUAGCGGGUCUGAGAGGAUGAGCAGCCACACUGGGACUGAGACACGGCCCAGACUCCUACGGGAGGCAGCAGUGGGGAAUUUUGGACAAUGGGGGAAACCCUGAUCCAGCCAUGCCGCGUGUAUGAAGAAGGCCUUCGGGUUGUAAAGGACUUUUGUCAGGGAAGCGGUACCUGCAGAAUAAGCACCGGCUAACUACGUGCCAGCAGCCGCGGUAAUAC
rnacentral:rRNA from 1 species